CCCGCUGAACUUAAGCAUAUUAUUCAGCGGAGGAAAAGAAAACAACCGUGAUUCCCUCAGUCAGCGGCGAGCGAAGAGGGACCGAACUCGUUGCCGAAUCGGGUCUUAGCAACCUUGAGCUGUGGCAAAAACGCUUCCAUGUGUCUGGUGUAGGCUUGGCGAAAUUCAAUGUGCAAAGCAAACCCAUUGCUGAAACAACCCCUCUUGUGAGUAUUGAGCCAUAGAAGGUGUCAGCCCAUUGAGCCAAAAUCCUAUGCUUCAUUUGGAAGUACCAAACGAGUAGCACUGCUUGGGAGUGCAGUGUGAAUCGGCAGGUAUGUGUCUGCCAAAGUUAAAUACAGAGUAGGAAGACCGAUAGCGAACAAGUAGCGUGAGCGAAAGUUUGAAAAGCACUUUGGAAAGAGAGUGACAUAGAACCUGAAGUCGUGACAACGAUAAUGGACGUACCUCCAUUUCAUCGGCCAAAACCGACCUCCAAGCAGUAUCUCCGUCUGACUUUAGCGCAGGCGGGGCAACACGUGCAAAAGCUGAGGUUCCGGUCAAUCGAGCAGGAGUAAAGUUGGGAGCACUGCCUAGCAGCGAGCCCCUUCUUUCCUGUGAUGCUCUAUUUUGGCGCUGGAAAUGGGGUGCCUCCUCCCGUCUUGAAACACGG
rnacentral:rRNA from 1 species